AGAAGGAAUGGUACCAGCUCCUCCUUCUACCUCUGGUAGAAUUCAGAUGUGAAUCCAUCUGGUCCUGGACUUUUUUUGGUUGGAGGUGAAGUAAUCUGCUGGAGAAGGGCCAGGAAUGUAAGAUGAGAGAUUUAAGGAGAGUGGAAGAGUGGCUUAACAACAACAACAGUAACAAAGAAGCAUUGUUGAGGCUCCAUUGGAAACUGGUCAUGAAUGUGGUAGAACCAAGCUACCAUGUCAUGUGACACAGAAGUAAAUAGUUGGGCUCACCAAACUUCAUGCUUUGUAAGUAAACACAGUUAAAAGACAAGAGGUAGAAGAAUUUGGGAUUAUUGGAAAGAUGAAUUUUAUUCCUGGAAUGGUGGCCUAAAAGCUCUAAUUUGGAUAAGAAUGAAAUAAAGAGAAUGAAAGCUGAUACAUUUGGGUAAACUGAAAUGGUCAGUGACCUACAGGUCCCAAGUAAGGUUAAAAACAAAGCUGUAAAAUGGAGGUAGAGUUGAACCCUAUUUCAGACAAGCUGAAAAUGAGAGGGUUGUAGGGUCAGAGGUAGGUGCUAAAAUUUGUGAUAUUGGAAAUGGAGAGAUUACAGGUGAUAACAAUGUCUGAGGUGGAGCUGUGGCGUGGAUGACUUAGGUGCAUUGGAGAGUAAAGCCAGGAGGAGAGAAGGAACUGAGAGGCCUUUAUACCGGCUGUUGAACCUGGGGCACUGAAGUAACUCAAAAUGAUGGCGGGCUUGGGGUAGAGAGAAGAAUGGUAAACCAAAGGCCGAUGUCUUUCACUGGCCGGGAGGUUAGAAUGGCCUAGCUGAGUGGCAUAGGCUUCAAGCAGGAGGUAGCU
rnacentral:lncRNA from 1 species